UACAGAGGUCCCAAGCGUUGUUCGGAUUCACUGGGCGUAAAGGGUGCGUAGGCGGUCGGGUAAGUCUGAUGUGAAAUCUCACAGCUUAACUGUGAAACUGCAUUGGAUACUAUCCGGCUCGAGGAAUGGAGGGGAGACUGGAAUACUUGGUGUAGCAGUGAAAUGCGUAGAUAUCAAGUGGAACACCAGUGGCGAAGUCGAGUCUCUGGACAUUUCCUGACGCUGAGGCACGAAAGCCAGGGGAGCAAACGGG
rnacentral:rRNA from 1 species